UGGCCGUAAACGAUGUGGACUUGGUGUUGGAAUGGCUCCGAGCUGCUCCAGUGCCGAAGGGAAGCUGUUAAGUCCACCGCCUGGGAAGUACGGUCGCAAGACUGAAACUUAAAGGAAUUGGCGGGGGGAGCACCACAACGCGUGGAGCCUGCGGUUUAAUUGGAUUCAACGCCGGACAUCUCACCGGAUAAGACAGCUGAAUGAUUGUCAAUCUGAAGGUUUUACAUGACUAGCUGAGAGGAGGUGCAUGGCGUCAGUGACU
rnacentral:rRNA from 1 species